rnacentral:rRNA from 1 species
AACGAACGCUGGCGGCGUGCCUAAUACAUGCAAGUCGAGCGCAGGAAACUGACGGAACUCUUCGGAGGGAAGGCAGUGGAAUGAGCGGCGGACGGGUGAGUAACACGUAAGGAACCUGCCUCAAGGAUUGGGAUAACUCCGAGAAAUCGGAGCUAAUACCGGAUAGUUCAACGGACCGCAUGGUCCGCUGAUGAAAGGCGCUCCGGCGUCACCUUGAGAUGGCCUUGCGGUGCAUUAGCUAGUUGGUGGGGUAACGGCUCACCAAGGCGACGAUGCAUAGCCGACCGGAGAGGGUGAUCGGCCACACUGGGACUGAGACACGGCCCAGACUCCGACGGGAGGCAGCAGUAGGGAAUCUUCCACAAUGGACGAAAGUCUGAUGGAGCAACGCCGCGUGAGUGAUGAAGGUUUUCGGAUCGUAAAACUCUGUUGUAAGGGAAGAACACGUACGAGAGGAAAUGCUCGUACCUUGACGGUACCUUACGAGAAAGCCACGGCUAACUACGUGCCAGCCGCCGCCGUAAAAC